ACGCGAUGCGUUCUCUUCUCUAGGCCAGAAAUAAAUGGAAAUAUACUGCGGAAAGGACUGGUUUGAAUGCGCUGAAAAUUUAUCCACUGCAAAGGCAUGUAAAAGUCCAAAUCUCUUGAAUCUGGGAAACAGCGAAAAAAUAAACUUAAAUCAACCCAUUUUUUCCAGUUUCUCGCCUUUGUAUCUGGUAGUUUGCCAAAUCUCAACACGAUUACUCACAUGUCAGCAGAAAAUAAAAUUUAUUGCCAACGAACACAAAACGAAAUGUUUUUCUGUGCUUUGGUUACCUUUUUAGGAUUACCUCCCGACCAAGGAAAUAAACAAUUAAGCUUUUUUUUUGACACCACUGAAGUUGAUUUCCAAGUUUUAAUGAGACAUAGAAGUGAAUCGGCUGUCAUUAAGAUAAAGUAAUUUCUGUCGUUGUCUGUGCGGUGCGUAUUCACGAAAUAAGUGGACAGACCGUUAAAGUUAUUGACAGCAGCAAUCAAUGUUACUUGUGGUAGAGCCGAAGGGGAAACUGGAAUGGGCACGUGACUGAAACUGGAACCUUAUAUGACUGUUAAAGAUACAUUUCCUCAUCUUUGUAACAAUAUCAACAAAGCAGAGCAAUACAUGUGUAAAUGUAAACAAUGCCGCUGAGAUGGAAAAUACAUACGUUACAAAAAGUUUUUAAGGUGAAAAGGAUGAAUAAGUGGAUUUGAUUAUGAUUAUUCUUUUAUAUUAUUUUUCUGUUUUCGUCGUUGGGAAAACAAAUCCAUGUCAUUGUGCUCCUAUUAAAACCGAUCAAAGUAUGAAUAAUAUAAAUCAAUUUAAAACAAGUGAGAAAGCCAUUGUAGAGUUCCUCGACUAUCAGAUACCCGAUACUCAGCUAGUGGGAAUGCCAACUCGAAAUUUCAUUAUUUUUCUGACUUAUCGAUACAUAUUGGUGAAAAUAAUGAGAAAAAAUUAAAAAACGUUUAUAAGAGAAAAAAUAUCAAAACAUUUUGUGCGGUUUGUGGGUGUUGGAGUGGUAAAAAGAUUUUUGGCAAAUCGAUAGAACUUUUAAAAACUAACACAAAAAUUAAAAAAUAUUUGUGGGAUUUGUGGGCGUUAAUAUAAUUUGCGAUAAACAUUUAUAAUAAUAGAACGCAGGAGUAUUUGUCUUUCAGCGGAACUAAUAUAUAAUUGAAUUUGAAAUUAUCAAAUAUGAGGGGUAGUUUGGCACAAAGUCAGCCGAGACACCGCGCUUACAAUAAAUAAUUGUGAUUUGGCAACAAUAUAAGCAGAAUCAUUCUAGCUGCGGCAAAGCUGUUCAUUUAAAACAUUAUAAUAGUUUUAUUACUGGCUAAAAACACGAAAUAAAUUUCGGAAUUUAUAACUU
ensembl:ncRNA lncRNA:CR44317 long non-coding RNA:CR44317